UACGGAGGAUGCAAGCGUUAUCCGGAAUGAUUGGGCGUAAAGCGUCCGCAGGUGGCAAUGUAAGUCUGCUGUCAAAGCGUCUGGCUCAACCAGAUAAAGGCAGUGGAAACUACAUAGCUAGAGUAAGGUAGGGGUAGAGGGAAUUCCUGGUGUAGCGGUGAAAUGCGUAGAGAUCAGGAAGAACACCGGUGGCGAAAGCGCUCUGCUGGACCUUAACUGACACUGAGGGGCGAAAGCUAGGGGAGCGAAUGGG
rnacentral:rRNA from 1 species